UCCAUCCAAGGCUAAAUACGGGUUAGAGAUUGAUAGCAAACAAGUACUGAAAGGGAAAGAUGAAAAAGACUUUGAAAAGAGAGUCAGACAAGGCCCAAGUCCCUUACAAGGGGGUUCCAGAGAGAGUGAAAGCCCCAUGAUGCAUGGACCCGAUCGCACCACAAGGCCCCCAUCCGCUUCCCUCUCGACAAUUGCAAGCACUCUUUGACUCUCUUUUUAGAGUCCUAUUCAUUUUUCCCUCGUGGUACUUGUUUCCUAUUGUACAUUUAGGAAUGCAUUCCAAUAGUGUGGUAAAUUCCAUCCAAGGUUAAAUACGGGUUAGAGAUUGAUAGUAAACAAGUACCAAAAGGGAAAGAUGAAAAGGACUUUGAAAAGAGAGUCAAAGAGUGCUUGAAAUUAUCAGGAAGGAAGUCGAUGGGGGCUAGCAGUGCUUCCCGGUCGAAUGUGAAAUGAUGUUGAGUAGCUCUGCCGAUCGACUGAGGAUGUGGAGCGGCGCAGAUCGCGGUAGUGGCCCAAGCCCGUGCCUUUGUUACGCUCAUAGAGACAUCAUCAUCGUUAUCAUUAUUUACAUUGCUCCUUAUGGUGUGCUCUGGAAUUUGCACACUCCUGGCAUCAGCUUGUGGACUCCCUAUUUGGCUCGUCCUAAAAUACUGACCAAGGAGUCUCUCAUGUGUGCGAGUCAAUGGGCAAGUAAUCUCGUAAGGUGCAAGGAAGUUGACUGGCGAGAUCCCUUUGUGGGUUGCACCACUGACCGACCUUGAUCUUCUGAAAAGGGUUAAAGUGAGAGUAUGUCUGUCGGGACCCAAAAGAUGGUGAACUAUGCCUGAGCGGGGUGAAGCCAGAGGAAACUCUGGUGGAGGCCAGCAACGAUGCUAAUGUGUGAUUCGUUCGUCUAACUUUAGUAUAAGGAAGACUAAUCAAACCAUCUAGUAGUUGGUUCCCUUUGAAGUUUCCCUCAAGAUAGCUAGAGCCCACGGGCGAGUUCUAUCUUGUAAAGCCAAUGAUUAAAGGCAUGGGUGGUGCAACGCCCUCGACCUAUUCUUAAAAUUUAAAUAGGUAUGACGGUGCAACUGCUUUGUUGAGCCGUACCAUGAAAUUGAUAGCUCCAAGUGGGCCAUUUUUUGUAAGAGAAAUUGGUGAUGCGGGAUGAACCGGAAGCUGAUUUACUGUGCCCAACUGCACGCUAACCUAGUACCAACAAAAGGUGUUGGUUGAUUAAGAGAUCAGGGCGGUGGUCAUGGAAGUCGGAAACUGUUAAGGAGUAAGUAACAACUCACUUGCCGAAUCAACUAGCACUGAAAAUGGAUGGCGCUGAAGCGAGUGACCUACACUUGGUUGUCUUGGAAAGUGCCAGGACCCAAUAAGUAGGAGGGCAUGUCUGAUAAUGCAAACCACGUGAGCUUCGAAAGGGAAUCAAGUUAAAAUUCUUGAACUGGGAUGUGGCGACUGAUGGCAACAUUAAGGAGUCAACCCAGGAAAGAGUUAUAUUUUCUAUUUAACAGCCUACCCACCCUGGAAAUGGCUCAUCCAGAGGCAGGGCCAACGACUGGAAGAGCACUGCACGUCACGUGGUGUCCGGUACGCCGCCGCCAGCUUCGACGACCCUUGAAAAUCUAGAGAACCGAGUGCCAUCCACGCUCAGUCGUACUCAUAACCGCAUCAGGUCUCCAAGGUGAGCAUCCUUUGGUAGAGGGAGCAAUGUAGGCAAGGGAAGUGAACAUAAUGGAUCCAUAACCUCGAGAAAGGAUUGGCUCUAAGGGUUAGGCACGAGGGUCCCAGUCUCGAACCCGUCAGCUGUCAGUGGACUGCUUGAGCUGCUCUCGCGGUGAAAGCAAGUCGUCGCUGUCAUAACCUACAUUUUCCAACAAAAUAGAUCCCCACCCGGUUCUGGGGAUUGACUAUGAACGAUCCCUUAGGGUGCCUUCCUCAAGUGUCGAAUAGUCAAGUCAGGAUGGGUAAAGACAAGGGGAAUCCGAUUGCUUAAUCAAAACAAAGCAUUGUCAUGGUCCCUGUGGAUGCUCACACAAUAUGAUUUAUUCCCAGUGUUCUGAAUGUCAAAGUGAAGAAAUUGAACCAAGCGCGGGUAAACAGCAGGAGUAACUAUGAUCUCUUAAGGUAGCCAAAUGUCUCAUCAUCUGAUUAUCGACGCACAUGAAUGGAUUAAUGAGAUUUCCACUGUCUCUGUCUACUAUCUAGCAAAACCACAGCCAAAGGAACGAGCUUGGCAGAUUCAGUGGGGGAAAAAAGACCCUAUUGACUGGACUCUAGUUUGACUUUGUGAAAUGACUUGAAAACGAUGAAAGUGAAAUACCACUACUUUAAAAGUUAUUUUAUUUAUUAUGUGAAUUGGAAGCAGGUCACUGCCCCUCUUUUUUAUCCCAAGGCCUACUUCUGCGGGCCAAUCCGGGUGAAAGACAUUGUCAGGUGAGGAGUUUGACUAGGGCGGCACAUCAGUUAAAAGAUAUCGCAGGUGUCCUAUCUCAUGUGGAACAAAAGGAUAAAAGCUCGUUCAAUUCUGAUUUCCAGUACGAAUACAAACUGUGAAAGCGUGGCCUAUCGAUCAUUUAGAUCUUCAGAAUUGAAAGCUAGAGGUGCCAAAAAAGUUAGCACAAGGAUAACUCGCUUGUGGUAGCCAAGCAUUUAUAGCAACAUUGCUUUUUGUCCUUCGAUGUCGGCUCUUCCUAUCAUUGUGAAGCAAAAUUCACCAAGUGUUGAAUUGUUCACCUACUAAUAGGGAACGUGAGCUAAGUUUAGACCGUCAUAAGAGAGGUUAAUUUUACCCUAGUGAUGACAGUGUCGCAAUAGUAAUUCAACCUAGUACGAGAGGAAUCAUCCUUUCGUACAGUUGGUCAUCACGCUUGGUUAAGAAGCCAGUGGAGCGAAGCUAUUGUGCGUUGGAUUAUGAUGGAACGCCUCUAAGUCAGAAUCCGGUCUAGAAGCGAUGCAUGCGCUCGUCACUCGAUUGCUGACCAGCAAGUGGGGUCUUCAGGCCCCUUAAGGCAUGUGUCCUAGUGAAGCCUCCUCGACCGACAAGUCGGGUUAGCCACUUUGAAGCAUAAUUUUUACUGAG
rnacentral:rRNA from 1 species